UACGGGGGGGGGCAAGCGUUGUUCGGAAUUACUGGGCGUAAAGGGCGCGUAGGCGGUUCGUCAAGUCCUGUGUGAAAUCCCCCGGCUCAACUGGGGAACUGCACAGGAAACUAGCGGGCUUGAGUUCGGGAGAGGGAAGCGGAAUUCCGGGUGUAGCGGUGAAAUGCGUAGAUAUCCGGAGGAACACCGGUGGCGAAGGCGGCUUCCUGGACCGACACUGACGCUGAGGCGCGAAAGCUAGGGGAGCAAACGGG
rnacentral:rRNA from 1 species